AAAUUCUAAGGUGCUUGUGAGAACCCUCGUUCAGGAACUCGGCAAAAUGUAACCGUAACUUCGGGAGAAGGUUAGCCCUGUCAACCAAUGGCAGGGUCGCAGAGAAAUGUUUCAGGCGACUGUUUAACAAAGACACAGGUCUCCGCAAAGUUGUAAAGACAACGUAUGGGGGCUGACGCCUGCCCAAUGCUGGAAGGUUAAGAGGAGUGGUUAGUCGUAAGGCGAAGCUGCGAAUCGAAGCCCCAGUGAAUGGCGGCCGUAACGAUAACGGUCCUAAGGUAGCGAAAUUCCUUGUCGGGUAAGUUCCGACCUGCACGAAUGGCGUAACGAUCUGAAAGCUGUCUUAACGAGGGACACAGCGAACUUGUAGUACCGGUGAAGAUGCCGGUUUCCCGCAUCUAGACGGAAAGACCCCGUGCACCUUGACUACAACUUGAUAGUGAUUUCGGGUAAAUAAUGCGCAGCAUAGGUGGGAGGCUUUGAUAUCAGACUUUUGGGUUUGGUGGAGCCACCGGUGAGAUACCACCCUUUAUUUAUUUGGACUCUAACCUCGACCCGUAAAUCCGGGCCAGGGACAUUAUCAGGCGGGUAGUUUGACUGGGGCGGUCGCCUCCUAAAGAGUAACGGAGGCGCUCGAAGGUUGGCUCAGGCUGUUUGGAAAUCAGCCGCAGAGUGUAAACGCAUAAGCCAGCUUAACUGCGAGACAUACACGUCGAGCAGGUACGAAAGUAGGAGUUAGUGAUCCGGCGGUCGCUUAUGGAAGUGCCGUCGCUCAACGGAUAAAAGGUACGCCGGGGAUAACAGGCUGAUCCUGCCCAAGAGUUCACAUCGACGGCAGGGUUUGGCACCUCGAUGUCGGCUCAUCAUAUCCUGGGGCUGAAGAAGGUCCCAAGGGUUCGGCUGUUCGCCGAUUAAAAUGGUACGUGAGCUGGGUUCAGAACGUCGCGAGACAGUUCGGUCCCUAUCUGGUGUGGGCGCAGCAAUAUUGAAGGAAUCUGACCUUAGUACGAGAGGACCGGGUUGGGUUGACCUCUAGUGUACGUGUUAUGGCGCCAGCCGUAUCGCACGGUAGCUAUGUCGAGCAUGGAUAAACGCCGAAUGCAUCUAAGCGUGAAGCCAGUCCUAAGAUUAAUAUUGCCAGUGAGACUCGUGGAAGACCACCACGUUGAUAGGCUAGAGAUGUAAGUGCAGUAAUGUAUUUAGUUGACUAGUACUAAUUGUCCCAAGGCUUGACC
rnacentral:rRNA from 1 species